AGGAGCAACAGCCCUAGUGGCGGGGCCAGCUCUGGAAACCUGGAUUCAGCCCCCGCAGGAACUCCGGAGGUCUCCGUCUGCAGGGCCUGGAGGCUCCGGGGCGGG
rfam:Canis lupus familiaris chromosome 7, whole genome shotgun sequence.